GUCCGUUGCCUGGAAAUGUCAAUGUUCAUCUUUAACAGGAGUGUGCGGCCUCGGGCUGGCUCAAUAGUCUAUGUGUAAUGGUUCUUAUGGGGACUGUGGUGACAGAGAAGUUAUUUCCUGGAAGUGGACACCUUCAUGCCUGUAUCCUUUAUUUACAAUCAGGAAAUAGAGGUAAUAUUGCACUUUGGGGCUCGUCCCUCAAGGAGAUCGUUUGACAUUUUCGGCUGCAGAAAUGUGUGUAAAUUGAAGAGAUACCCAGUGACCUGGCGGGAGUGAGGUCGAGCAGGUCUUGGGCAAGAAUUAUUUUGAGUAACCAGAUUCCGCCUUGUCCCCUGCGUGUGCAGAUGCGCUGUGUGCCCUGCAUGGCUGUGGGAGUUGGUGCCAGGGGCAGACAUAUUCUCACAGUGACUGGUUCUUAUUUAUGAUGCCAAUGAACCAUGUGUUUUCAGGUGCUUUAAAACGGUGCAGUGUAAAAAGUGUGCUUUUGUUUUCUUUUUUCUUUUCUUUCUGGCAUUUGAGCUUGUUUUCGCUCUGAGGGUCCAUAUGCAUUUGUCAUAGUGCUCUGCCAAGUGGCUCUUUGCUGUCAGGUUUUAGGAAGAGCAGGUGUACAGGCAAGGACCUCUCCUGAAGGUUGUUCCUCUUGGAGGAACAUCCUACAGUAUUAGUGUGGUAGUUUUUAAUCUUGAUGUUCAGUAUUUAAUCCUUACUUUCUGUUUUCUAAACUCAGGACUUCAUUGGUCAGAAACCUUUUAGUGUCUUCGUAAAAUUUUGUAUGUACAUAUAUUUAU
rnacentral:lncRNA from 1 species